UUGUCAGGAUGAACCUGAUAGAAAUUGUAGUACCUUAAAAUGAAAGACCCCCAGAGUGGGGAGACCCUCACUCAAAUCUCGGGAUGAUGAGACCCCCCAAGAACUCACACAAGACC
rnacentral:pre_miRNA from 14 species